CGCCAUAACCUUCGAGUUGCUUCUUUCAUGUCUUAUGGCAGAUGCAUUUUAUACCAGCAUUCAGUUAAUUUGCAUCACGAUCAUAUGCAAGCAAGGCAAUUUCGUAAGUGUUUAUCACAAUUCUAGACAUCACACAAUAACAAUCUUCAGGGAACGCCAAAUGGUUUAUAAGAAUCUAGACACCACAAGUUACAAGCAUUAGGACCUGCGGUGCUGUGCACUUCAAGACGCAGCAACCGUGGGAGGAGGCAAGAG
rnacentral:lncRNA from 1 species